rnacentral:lncRNA from 1 species
AUGCUCCCAUGUUACAUUCAGGCACCUGAUGAACUUCAGCCAGCGGAGCAAAUGAAAGAUAAACAUGUGUUGCUGUCCCCUUCUGCGGCUGUCCAUCCUCCUGACCCGAGGCUGUGCUUGCUCGGACGGAGUCUCUCAGUCACCGAUGUGGUGGAAGCAGAUCUCAUUUAUUCCCCGGGACACUUCUGGUAUCAUACCCAUACAACUGACCGCAUCUGCAACACGCGCUGGUUUUGUAACUUCUGUCCAAUCACAGCCUCAGUCACGCACCGUGCACGAGGCUCCGUGUCAUGGGCUGACCGCCCUCCUUCUGGUUGGUUCUUCCAUCUUCUACAUCUUUCCUUGACUGCAUCGAUACUUUCCCGACUUUCGGAGCUUCCGGGUUCAUUUGGUCACGCAUGCAGGCACAAUAGCUAUUCUUGCAUAGCGGCAUCGAGUACUAAUGAGCAGCUAUUGCUUAAUAAGCAGCCGUUGCGACCCACAAACACGCAACAAAGUCUUAGCAUGUUAAAAAAUACAGACUUGCCAAACAAAAAAAUAUUUCUUGUGCUGUUUUAUCGAAGUAUCAUUUGCCUGUGCACUAUUGUGGUUCUGUGGAUAGCAUUCUCACUGCAGGACUGAAAGAAUCUGAGUUCCGUCCCACAGUGCCAUUCAAUUCAAAUACAGAAGUCUAGCCAAUAUUUACAUCUCUAAAUUAACACACAUCACAGAGUAACCAGCACUAUACAAACUCAAACACCUAUGGAAGACAUCAUUGAGCACAUAAUGACCAGGACAAUACCUUGCAUAAAAUUGCUACAGCUCAAAUGAGCAAUUCACUGCAGUAUAAAGACCUCAGAGAGUCAGAGAAAGGUAAUUGCUUGUUCAUGAAUUACCACAGCUCUGUUAAAGAUAGAGAGCUAAAUUUGUUGUGCUCAUCCACUUCAGUUACAAGUAAAAGUUAUCACUGUGGCUCAUGAAAAAAGUAAGAAAUGAGAAUGUUAGAUUUUAUGAAAUUUUGACCAAUAGCUUUCACAUUGCAUUUGAAGAAAUCAUGAUUUAGGGUAUUUUGGUCUGAAUAACCGAAGUGUUAUUAGGUAGACAUACAGGUGGAAGGAGGGAGUAAUUUUUCUCUCUCCCCUUAGCCCAAAGAUUAGAAAAAAACCUUGAACUCACUUAGUACGUGCUUGGAUAUGCCUACAGACACGUCUGAAAAACCCACGUUCUGAGAGGAGCCUUGAGUUUUUUCGCAGCC